CGUCUUGAAACACGGACCAAGGAGUUUAGCGUGUGCGCGAGUCAUUGGGUGUCAAAACCUAAAGGCGAAAUGAAAGUGAAGGAAACUUUGUUUUCGAGGGAGGAUGGGUUAGGUCCCUCUCCAGGGCCGGCCUCGCACUCCCGGGGCGUCUCUAUCUCAUCACGAGAGGAGGCGCACCUAGAGCGUACACGCUGAUACCCGAAAGAUGGUGAACUAUGCCUGGCCAGGACGAAGCCAGGGGAAACCCUGGUGGAGGUCCGCAGCGAUUCUGACGUGCAAAUCGAUCGUCGGAGCUGGGUUUAGGGGCGAAAGACCAAUCGAACCAUCUAGUAGCUGGUUCCCUCUGAAGUUUCCCUCAGGAUAGCUA
rnacentral:rRNA from 1 species